AUUCAUUCUGAUAUGCCACAGCUUUCAGACAAUCAGCAUUUGGGGUUUGAACCUCCCCGUUUAUAUUUUUGAGUAACAUACAUCCGUAUUGGUCAGUUUCUCUGGCUUUGUGAGUAGAUACGAGGAGAGCACAAAUGAGCGCACUUGUGCCAGUGGCAUGCCGGAAGAGGGUCUUUAUGUAGGCAGUGGUUUGUGUAUUCGUGCAUGAAUGUGUCUACAUGUGUGCAUCUGUGUGUGUCUGUGUGUGUGUGUGUGUGUGAGCGUGUACAAGAGGUUGGGGAAUUUAGAUGCUGAGAAACAGGAAGAAAAGAACAUUACAUCUAAAAUGGUUCCAGUAAAUUACUUUUUGCCCAUUUUUAUCUUCACACCAGUUCAAACAUAUUUAUUAGUCUUUCUAAAACAGAUCUCAGUAUCAGUUCUUGUUUAAUAAAGCAGUCAACGAUAACAUUUCAAAACACAAAAUAAACAUUUCUAAUUGGACAAGUCCAGGUCUUCCCAUCUUGUUUGAGUCCGUUUGGCUCCUAAUGAACAAGAGCCGGCAUAGUGAUACUCAGCCAGCUACCACUGUGAGAUGAAUCCUUUUGCUGACACUGAGACCAAAUACUUUCAUAGGCGAAAGGUCAGAGGUCGAAAGGUCAAAACAUUGUGAAAUGUGUGUUUGUGUGUGUCUGAUGGAGGACGUUAGGGGCAGAGAUCAGAUUCACUUAGACGAAUUCCAGAUGGUCAGGAAUUUGUCAUCACUGGAACAAUUUACCCCAGGCAUUCUAGAGUGUGCCACUCUCUUAUUAGUAAGGGAAUGAGUGUUUAUAUCAGUGUGUGUGUGUGUGUGUGUGUGUGUGUGUUUUUUCACCCUAAGCAUGUGUUUAUUUCCCUUCCCUCAGCCUCUGCAACAAAUCUAUGGCUAGGCAGUAGCAUACACAAUGGUAAAAUUACACAGGUUUUAGGCAUUUGUAAAACAAUCACAAAUAAUUUCCCGAACCUUAACCAGUCAGUGUUAGUGCCUGAAUUGUUAACCCUCUAGGUAUUUGUGUAUUUAAACUCAGUCGCCUAACCAGUCACCAUGUGGAAGAAAGC
ensembl:lncRNA